CUACGGGGGGCAGCAGUGGGGAAUAUUGGACAAUGGGGGAAACCCUGAUCCAGCAAUGCCGCGUGUGUGAAGAAGGCCUGCGGGUUGUAAAGCACUUUCGGUUGGGAGGACUGCUUCUAGCACUAAUAUUGUUGGAAGUUGACGUUACCUUCAGAAGAAGCACCGGCUAACUCCGUGCCAGCAGCCGCGGUAAUACGGAGGGUGCAAGCGUUAAUCGGAAUUACUGGGCGUAAAGCGCGCGUAGGCGGCUAGAUCAGUCGGGUGUGAAAGACCCGGGCUUAACCUGGGAACUGCAUCCGAUACUGUCUAGCUUGAGUACAGGAGAGGAGAGUGGAAUUCCACAUGUAGCGGUGAAAUGCGUAGAUAUGUGGAGGAACACCAAUGGCGAAGGCAGCUCUCUGGCCUGAUACUGACGCUGAGGUGCGAAAGUGUGUGGAGCAAACAGGAUUAGAUACCCUCGUAGUC
rnacentral:rRNA from 1 species